rnacentral:misc_RNA from 1 species
AUAAUUGCUUUGUACCGGUGCCUAAUGACUUUAAGACGAGCUAAAUUGUUAUUGAAUAUGCCCUGUUAUUGUUUAAGAGUUGCCUUGUCUUCAUUGAAAUGAUUUUGAUGGAAAAUCUAUGAGAUUAUAGUUAUAAAAUAUUCCAAUAUUUAUUUGUAUUGCAAAAGACACAAAAGAUACAAGAAGCCAGCCCUUGGUAAAUUAGAAAUGUAGAUGAAUCUGUUAGAAACCUUUAUGUGUUCUCAUCUCAGUGUCGCUGCCCAUGAAAAGUUAACUCCUUUUGACCUCAACUCAUUUUAGUCGGCAUUUUGUUUUGACAAUCUGAAGCUUACUGUCACCUUUUGUUAUCAUUCACUCGAAUGGUUCUUUUCUUCUUUGAUUUACUGUUGAUGCCUAGUGAUGGACUGUUUAGUUUCAAAUUGAGGGUG